GAACAUUGGGCCAUGGGUAUGAAAAACUGAUGGGUAUGGAGAGAAACGCUUGGUUGGGCCAAGAAGGCCCAAUUCCUCAACCCAAGAUCGGGUUCACACCAAACUUCCAAGGAUCCCCCAAAGAAACCCAUUCACCGGAAAUCCAUCAGUUCAAAUGAGAAUAAAGAAUGAAUUCACGUCGCCGGAAAAAUUCGAUCGGUGGCAUCCAUGAACCAACGAAAAAGUCACCUCAACCCCCGAUGUCUUCUUCUCCUCGUGGUUGAUGAAGAUGACGCUUCGUGUGCGUUGCUCUUGAGACGAAGAUGAAUCUUUAUGUCUGUCGCGUUCGAAUAGAAGACAGAGAUGUCGCACUCGUAAUGAAGAUAUCAACGGUGUGCCGCGUUUUGAAUCAAGACGGGGAUGGUCGUGAUGAAGCUAUCUUUCAAUUUCUUCUUCUGAUUCCGUCGCGUUGUUGAUGGUGAAUCUUGAUGAAGGUUCAUGAAUUAUUGUGCGCCACGUCGAUGAAAAGUCAAUUGUUGACGAUCCAUCGCGAGGUUGUUGCAAUUUGUUUGCGUAUUACUGUUGCGUGUCGAUGAUCGUUACGAUUGUUCUGAGAUGAAGAGUGAUGCCGAUCACGAAAUUGCUUCCUCCAGAGAAAAUGCGGACAUUUUGGUUCUCAAUUGGAGAGAAGAUUUGUGACCACCGGAUCAGAUGAAGGUUUCAAGGUGUUUUUUGGGGGCGAUUCUGUUAAGGGGUUUCUGACUAGAGGUUGGUAUGAGGGGGAUUAAAGAUGUAGCAUGUUGAAGGUUUUUUGGAGUAUUCGUUGAGGAGAUUAGAGAAGGCAGUUGCAAGGUGGUUUGAAGAUAGAGUGUGAAGGUUAGGGGAGGUUUGAAGAUGGCGAUUGGAGGAUGAUGAUGGUUCAUUCAAUGAUGAUGCAGAUGAUGGAGAGAGUCCCAAGAUGGUUUCGGUUCAGGGUCCUCCUUGAGGAUGGAGUUAGGGUGGUUGUUAAGAGGGUAUUGAAAGGAAUGAAGAAUGGUGUGAAGGUUGGAAAUCUUUUGAAUUUAGAGAGUGAAGAAGUUGGAGUUGUCAAGGUUCUUUGAGGGUCUUUGAAUUCGGUUAGGAAUUCUGGUUCAGUCAGUUAGAGGAGUUUGUUAUUGCCAAGUUCAAAAAAUGUUGGAGAGUGAACUUGAGAAGUUUGUUAGGAGGUUAGCAAAAUUUGUUGAGAAUUCGGUUAUGAGGUUGGUUCGAAUGGAGUUCUGUUAGAAGCUUGUUAUCAGUGAUCAGUUUUUCUGUUAUAUUGUUUUUGAUUUUUU